AGAGUUUGAUCAUGGCUCAGGACGAACGCUGGCGGCGUGCUUAACACAUGCAAGUCGAACGGAAAGGUCUCUUCGGAGAUACUCGAGUGGCGAACGGGUGAGUAACACGUGGGUGAUCUGCCCUGCACUUCGGGAUAAGCCUGGGAAACUGGGUCUAAUACCGAAUAGGACCACUUGGCGCAUGCCUUGUGGUGGAAAGC
rnacentral:rRNA from 1 species